rnacentral:rRNA from 1 species
GCCCAGAGUUUGAUCCUGGCUCAGAACGAACGCUGGCGGCAGGCUUAACACAUGCAAGUCGAACGAGGCCUUCGGGCUUAGUGGCGGACGGGUGUGUAACGCGUGGGAACGUGCCCUUUGCUACGGGAUAGCCCCUGGAAACGGGGAGUAAUACCGUAUAGUGUCUACGGACUAAAGAUUUAUCGGCAAAGGAUCGGCCCGCGUUGGAUUAGGUAGUUGGUGGGGUAAUGGCCUACCAAGCCGACGAUCUAUAGCUGGUUUGAGAGGAUGAUCAGCCACACUGGGACUGAGACACGGCCAGACUCCUACGGGAGGCAGCAGUGGGGAAUCUUGGACAAUGGAGGCAACCCUGAUCCACCAUGCCGCGUGAUCGAUGAAGGCCUUAGGGUUGUAAAGAUCUUUCGCUGGGGA